rnacentral:rRNA from 1 species
CAGACUCCUACGGGAGGCAGCAGUGGGGAAUAUUGGACAAUGGGGGGAACCCUGAUCCAGCCAUGCCGCGUGUGUGAAGAAGGCCUUAUGGUUGUAAAGCACUUUAAGCGAGGAGGAGGCUACUUUAGUUAAUACCUAGAGAUAGUGGACGUUACUCGCAGAAUAAGCACCGGCUAACUCUGUGCCAGCAGCCGCGGUAAUACAGAGGGUGCGAGCGUUAAUCGGAUUUACUGGGCGUAAAGCGUGCGUAGGCGGCUUAUUAAGUCGGAUGUGAAAUCCCCGAGCUUAACUUGGGAAUUGCAUUCGAUACUGGUGAGCUAGAGUAUGGGAGAGGAUGGUAGAAUUCCAGGUGUAGCGGUGAAAUGCGUAGAGAUCUGGAGGAAUACCGAUGGCGAAGGCAGCCAUCUGGCCUAAUACUGACGCUGAGGUACGAAAGCAUGGGGAGCAAACAGGAUUAGAUACCCUGGUAGUCCAUGCCGUAAACGAUGUCUACUAGCCGUUGGGGCCUUUGAGGCUUUAGUGGCGCAGCUAACGCGAUAAGUAGACCGCCUGGGGAGUACGGUCGCAAGACUAAAACUCAAAUGAAUUGACGGGGGCCCGCACAAGCGGUGGAGCAUGUGGUUUAAUUCGAUGCAACGCGAAGAACCUUACCUGGCCUUGACAUACUAGAAACUUUCCAGAGAUGGAUUGGUGCCUUCGGGAAUCUAGAUACAGGUGCUGCAUGGCUGUCGUCAGCUCGUGUCGUGAGAUGUUGGGUUAAGU